GAUGAAGAACGUAGCGAAAUGCGAUAAGUAAUGUGAAUUGCAGAAUUCAGUGAAUCAUCGAAUCUUUGAACGCACAUUGCGCCCGCUAGUAUUCUGGCGGGCAUGCCUGUUCGAGCGUCAUUUCAACCAUCAAGCCCUGCUUGUGUUGGGGUCCUGCGGCUGCCCGCAGGCCCUGAAAACCAGUGGCGGGCUCGCUAGUCACACCGAGCGCAGUAGCACAUCUCGCUCAGGGCGUGCGGCGGGUUCUUGCCGUAAAACACCCCCUUUUUACCAAGGUUGACCUCGGAUCAGGUAGGAAUACCCGCUGAACUUAAGCAUAUCAAUAAGCGGAGGA
rnacentral:misc_RNA from 1 species